UGGGUCACUUUGACCUAAUUUUGGAAUUUAUUGACAUAUUCAAAUCAAAUCUGGGUCAUACCUCUAUAGUCAACUACUAUCUUGUAGUGUAUUUUUUUUUUUUUAAAGAUGGAUACUACUGUAUAGACUUUUCAAAAAUAUUUUAUGGUGUACAUAUUCAUUGUAGUUCAAAACAAAUUGAGACAAGUGUAUUAUGUUCAUGUAACAGUGAAGUUUUCUUUGUUUAUUCAUGUACGUGCAGUUAUUUUGUAAAUUGCAUUCAUAUUUUUAAAAAAGUAAGAUCUUUGUUUCAUUUUUAAAGGGAGAUUUUGAUAGGCAUUUAAUCGAGAUGAAAAAAAUACAAAUGUAAAUAUUUUUGUGGGAGUUUUUUUUCUUGUGCAAUUUUAUCAUUUUUUAUAUAAAAGUCCCUAAUAAAGGAAUUGCCAUAUGGAUGUUCCUCCAUUAUUGUAUCUUGGCUGUAUUUUAUUUAUUAUUGGAAACAAUUUCAGAUUUUUGAACAAAAUAAAUUUGGAACUGU
rnacentral:sRNA from 1 species